GGGGACGUAGCGAAGCUAGUGGUCUUACUACAAGCUAGUAAGACCGGACAAGUAUCGCGCCGGGCUCCAGACUCGGUGUCACCUCUGCCUGCAGCAGGGUGUCCGAAAAUCGCCGGUUCAAAUCCGGCCGUCCCCA
rnacentral:tRNA from 1 species